AUCACAGCAUGUUGUUUUAAGCUAGCAUUAGCCAAGAAGUUAGCCAAUGCUAUUGGCUACCCUUAGCUCCAGAAACAAGAGGAAUCUUUUUCCCCCUUUUUUACCCACAUUGCAAAGCAUAAUAACAUCAUGACUGAGGUUAUUUGGCUGGUGCAAGGAAAGAGAGCUGUGGCAGUUGUGUGUGUACAGAUGAGGCAAAGAGAAGAAAGUCACUCAGGCGGUGAGCUUCACUCAUUUCUGGGAUAUACAACAGAAAGGCAACACAGAGGUGCAGAUACUGUGAAGGUGUCAGAAGGUACCAUGGUCACAAGAAGCUUCAGUACUGCGGGAUGCAGAGCUCUCACAGUGUGUGUAGCGCUUUUCCACUUCAAACUUCCUCUCAUUUUCUGUGGUCACUUCCUGGGUGUCCACAGUCAAGGGAUUCUUAUAAAAAAGAACCACAGCAACAGAUUGACUCAAUAAUUGGUGAGUUCCAAACCUCCUCUGGCAUUAACAGCACAAAAACUGUGCACUGGGAGUGUCAUGGCAUUAGUUUCCAUGGCCAAGCAGCUCCUGUAUGAGUAGUGUGUAGAUAUAGCC
ensembl:lncRNA